AUCGUGCAAAACCUUAUCUCCGUUCGCAAGUUUACUCGCGAAAAUUUAUGUUCUGUGGAGUUUGACCCCCUCGGUUUUUCCGUGAAGGAUCUUCGAACCAAGGUGGUGCUUCUGAGGUGCAAUAGUUCCGGCGACCUCUACCGUUUCACCGGCGACCAUGGCAGCACUCUUCCGGCGGCUUUCACUAUUUCCCAUUCGGAUCUUUGGCAUAAAAGGCUCGGGCACCCCGGCAUUUCGUCAUUAGCUUAUUUUCCCUUUGAUAUUCCCACUGAAUGUAAUAAAAGAUCUAGGUCGCCAUUAUGCACCGCUUGCCAAUUAGGCAAACACACUCGUCUCCCUUUUUCCACCUCCACCGCUUAUACCACUGCGCCAUUCCAAUUAUUACAUUGUGAUUUGUGGACCUCUCCGAUCAUUAGUUUCUCGGGUUAUAGGUAUUAA
rnacentral:rRNA from 1 species